rnacentral:lncRNA from 1 species
AGGCCCCACAAAGGACUGUCAUAUGAACCUGAGGGGGUCACAGAAAACAAACAAAGGACUCUAAUGUUUAGCCAAAGGAUACCACAAGAGGUGCAAGACUCAAUGAACAGGGCCAGAGACCAGCUGUGCAUGGCCAGCCUCUGCUUUAGGCCCAAGAAGGAAAGAAAUUCACAGGAGAUAGUGAAUCUCAGACUCUUCCUCAGUUACCAGCAGGAGGAUUCUAGAGGGCUACCCCGCAGCAUACCGAAGUUCCCAGGCUAGGGGUCAAAUCGGAGCUGAAGCCAGCCUACACCACAGCCAUAACAACAUGGGAUCCAAGCCGAGUCUGAAGCAUACUCCACAGCUCAUGGCAACACUGGAACCUUAACCCACUGAGUGAAGCCAGGGAUUGAACUUGCAUCCUCAUGGAUGUCAGUCGGAUUCAUUUCUGCUGAGCCACGACAAGAACUCCAUACUGUGACUCCUUGACUUCUUGGGUCACAGGCCAUAUUGGAGUAGGACAUCCACAUGUCCUGACCUCAUUUACCUUGAAUUACCUGCUUAAAAGCCACAUCUCCAAAUAUAGUCACUCUGGGGGUUAAGGCUUCAGCACAUGCAUUUUGAAGGGGUUCCUGGGAGCUUUUCUGGUGCUGGCAUUGACUGGUUCCACCAGUCAGUGAGGAAGGGAUCCUACCUACCUCAGCACCCGGACCAACUUCAUUGAAGAGACAGAUCAAGUGGCGAUGGAGUCUGGCUUCCUCAUGCACAGACAACAGCAGGAAAGUUGGGCUCACCCACCUGAAAAGCUAAAGCUGACCCAGAAGUUAUGCUUAAAGAAGAAAAAGAAGGAAGAGCUGCUUUUGAUGUAACUUGAAGAGUAUAAAGGAUCGAAUGAUAAAAGCCACUGCCCUGAACUUUUCCAAAGUGUAAUAAAUCUCUCUGCAUAAGAUUCUGCAGUUGUUGCCGAGAUCCCGAAUUGGGAGCCAUGUGGAAAGAGGACUGGAUUGGAAAUCAGAGUCCUUCCUGGGUUUCUUCCAGAUGACCCCACCCAUCAGCCGUCUGGUCUCUGGUGAGUGCCUGUGACUUACAAAAAAAUUCUUUUUUUCUUCUUAUGGUCUCACCUACAGCAUAUGGAUGUUCCCAGGCUAGGGGUCAAAUCAGAGCUGCAAUUGCCAGCUUACACCACAGUCACAGCAACACGAGAUCUGAGCCUCAUCUUCAACGUGCGAGCUCUCAGCAACACCAGAUGCUUAACCCACUGAGCAAGGCCAGGGUUCGAAGCUGGAUUCUCAUGGAUACUAGUUGGAUUCUUAAUUCGAUGAGCCACAAUGGGAACUCCACAAAAAAAUUUUUUUUUCAAUUAACAGGAAAAAAUAGGGAGAAUACAAUAACAGAACUGUGUGUGCCACUAUUGAGUUCUAGGCAGUCCUGACAUUUGGACGAGUUUGCUUCAGAUCUAAUUUAGUUCUUUGUGGAUUCCUCCUUAAUCCUAGUUCCCUUCUUCCUGCUCCAGAGAUUAACACUGUCCUGAAUUUGCAUGCUUUCACACUUCUAUAUACAUGCAUAUCUUUCCACAAUAGAUACUCUUGCUUUGCAUGUUUUAAAACUUGAAAUAACUUUAUUUUUUGACAUUUCAAAUCCCUUUUAUUAUACCAUUUCAUACUCUUUAAUUUUUGCCUUUGAAAUAGGAUUUAAAGACGUACUGUGGUCUGCAUUUAAAUGACUCCUCUGUAAGUGUAGGGUUAGGUCCCUGUAAGAUCCAGUGUAAUGAUGGCUUCUGAAUAAAACUUUAUAUAACUUUAAAUAUGAUGGGCAUCAUUCUGCAAUUUGCUCUUUUUGCAUUUAGCAUUAGAUUUCAGCAACAAAGCUCUAGUCCAUUCAUUUUAACUGCUGUGUAUUGUAAUGGUUUGUGAACAGAUGUCUGUCUAUGUAUUUGUCAAUCUAUCUAGUUAGCUCCAUUCUCCUGUCGAUGAAUAAUUAGAUUGUUUCUAAUUUUGUGCUAUGAUAAACAAUGUUUCAAUGAGUAUUCUUGUUCAUUUCAUGUACUAAUACAAAAGCUUCUCAAAAAUCACAUUUUUUUCACAAUGUUGUCUGUCCUCACAGUUAAAGCUCCACUUUGCAUGGAAACCCAGCACACACACGGGCUACAUUUCUGUGUGUCUGUAUAUGUAUACACACACAUGUGGAAUAAAAUUUCUCAGAAUAAUACUCUUGUCUAUUCAGCUAUAAUCCAGUUUGGUCUGUUCUAUUUCACCCAUGCAAAAAUGCCCUGUUUGUAAUUUACGAAAAUGAUUCCAUGGUGCGUCUCCACUGUUGUUGGGCACUUACCUAGACACUGAAUUGCCAGGUCAUGGGUUAUACUCGUUUUCAAAUUGAGGACUUUAUGUCCCUGUGUGUCCAUUUGAUGCAUUUAAAUGGACAUUUGCAUUUAGCCAGCAUUCUUGGGGUUUUAGGAGACUGUUUUUCAGGCUAUUUGGUGCAUUAUAUGGCUGGAAAUGGAAGCCUCACUUUAGCUUUCCAGGCUUCAAUUUUUUUCAUCUGUCACAAGAAGCCAAAACAAAACAAAAGCCCUGGACAUUUUAGUGUCUUACAGUCAGCAUUCUUUUCAGCCCAGAGUCCUGCGGAGGGUUCAGGGUCUUCAGUAUCAUAUGUAAGAUUCAGGCGGAGAGGGUUGUUAGGGCAGUGAAGAGAAUGAAUAGGUAGAAUUCUGGGCCUUUCACCACAGUCCCAGCCAAGGAGCCCAUUUUAAUAUUUAUCCACUGUAUUUCCAUUGUGAGCAGCUUGAAACUAAAGUUAAACUAUAGGUUUAGAUAUUCUGUGAGGCUCUUUCCAGAUCUAAUCUUGAAUGAAAAUAACUUUUGAGUCUCUGGACCAUUUAGAAUUGCAGCCAGGAGUUCCUGUUGUGGCACAGUGGAAACAAAUCCUACUAGUACCCAUGGGGUUGCAGGUUCAGUCCCUGGCCUCACUCAGUGGGUUAAGGAUCUGGCGUUGCCCAUGAGCUGUGGUGUAGGUUGAAGAUGUGGCUCAGAUCCCAAGUUACUAUGGCUGUGGUGUAGGCCCCCAGCUGUAGCUCUGAUUCAGCCUCUAGCCUGGGAACUUCCAUAUGUCAUAGGUGUGGCCCUAAAAAGAAAAAAAGAAAAAAAA